rnacentral:rRNA from 1 species
UACAGAGGUCCCGAGCGUUGUUCGGAUUCACUGGGCGUAAAGGGUGCGUAGGUGGUGAGGUAAGUCGGAUGUGAAAUCUCCGGGCUCAACCCGGAAAUGGCAUUGGAAACUACCUUGCUGGAGGAUUUGAGGGGGGAUUGGAAUACUUGGUGUAGCAGUGAAAUGCGUAGAUAUCAAGUGGAACACCAGUGGCGAAGGCGGGUCUCUGGGCCGUAACUGACGCUGAGGAGCGAAAGCGUGGGGAGCGAACAGG